GAGUGAGUGCCCUUCUCCUCUCUUGCUUGUCCGAAGACUGGUCUCCAAUCCACUGACUAGCGGGAUAGUUUGGAGGAAAGAAUCGCUAUGAAUUAGAAGACAGUACCACCCUUCACUCGAGUAGGAGAAANNNNGCCCACUAAAACCGGUCUUCAGAAGAAGAGCUUCACCGGGCUAAACUCCUUCUUCCUCCCUCCCUUUUCUAAAUAGCAGAGUUAUCAGACGGGGGAACAGCUUCUCAU
rnacentral:misc_RNA from 1 species